rnacentral:rRNA from 1 species
AGAGUUUGAUCAUGGCUCAGAAUCAACGCUGGCGGCGUGCCUAACACAUGCAAGUCGAACGCGAAAGUGGAGCAAUCCAUGAGUAGAGUGGCAAACGGGUGAGUAACACGUGGGCGACCUACCUUCGAGCGGGGGAUAACAUUCCGAAAGGAGUGCUAAUACCGCAUGACAUCCCGUGUUUGGAUACACGGACAUCAAAGCCGGGGAUCGUAAGACCUGGCACUUGAAGAGGGGCCCGCGUCCGAUUAGCUAGUUGGCGAGGUAAUGGCUCACCAAGGCUCCGAUCGGUAUCCGGCCUGAGAGGGCGGACGGACACACUGGAACUGAGACACGGUCCAGACUCCUACGGGAGGCAGCAGUGGGGAAUUGUUCACAAUGGGCGCAAGCCUGAUGACGCAACGCCGCGUGGAGGAUGAAGAUCUUCGGGUCGUAAACUCCUUUCGACCGAGAUGAAUUUCCGCCGACCUAACACGUCGGCGGGGUGACAGUAUCGAGGGAAGAAGCCCCGGCUAACUCUGUGCCAGCAGCCGCGGUAAUACAGGGGGGGCGAGCGUUGUUCGGAAUUACUGGGCGUAAAGGGUUUGUAGGUGGCUUGCUCAGUCAGACGUGAAAUCCCUCAGCUUAACUGGGGAACUGCGUCUGAUACUAGCGAGCUUGAGUGCAGGAGAGGAACGCGGAAUUCCAGGUGUAGCGGUGAAAUGCGUAGAUAUCUGGAGGAACACCGGUGGCGAAGGCGGCGUUCUGGACUGCAACUGACACUGAAAAACGAAAGCCAGGGGAGCAAACGGGAUUAGAUACCCUAGUAGUCC